AAGCGUUGUUCGGAAUUACUGGGCGUAAAGGGCUCGUAGGCGGCCAACUAAGUCAGACGUGAAAUCCCUCAGCUUAACUGGGGAACUGCGUCUGAUACUGGAUGGCUUGGAUUCGGGAGAGGAAUGCGGAAUUCCAGGUGUAGCGGUGAAAUGCGUAGAUAUCUGGAGGAACACCGGUGGCGAAGGCGGCAUUCUGGACCGAUAUUGACGCUGAGGAGCGAAAGCCAGGGGAGCAAACGGG
rnacentral:rRNA from 1 species